rnacentral:lncRNA from 1 species
AAAAUCAAAGUGUAAAUUCAAUAAAGCACAAGGUUACCAACACAUAUCAAGCCCUCUUCAGUGUAUGUACAUCCUCCCACCACCUCCAUGUUUUCAGGUAAGAAGUCAGAUAGAUUCUGUCUCACUGAAGAUUACAUCUUUCUCCUCGUCCAUCCUCCAGCCAGUCCAACAUUGUCUUUACCUUCUACUGGCUUUUUGGUUUGCAUUUUCUGAGGCUGGUUUUCUGCCAUUCCAUCAGUUCUAUAAUUUAAACAAUCUGAUUCCAGUAAGUUCCCUCUUUUUGUUAUUCCUGCUUCAAUAAACCAGUGAAAGUCUCUAUAUAGGAUCUAA